AUUUAUUUAGUUUAAAUAAAACAAUAGUUUGUGGUACUACUAAUUCUAAUAAUUA
rnacentral:tRNA from 1 species